GACGAACGCUGGCGGCGUGCUUAACACAUGCAAGUCGAACGGAAAGGCCCUGCUUUUGUGGGGUGCACGAGUGGCGAACGGGUGAGUAACACGUGAGUAACCUGCCCUUGACUUUGGGAUAACUUCAGGAAACUGGGGCUAAUACCGGAUAGGAGCUCCUGCUGCAUGGUGGGGGUUGGAAAGUUUCGGCGGUUGGGGAUGGACUCGCGGCUUAUCAGCUUGUUGGUGGGGUAGUGGCUUACCAAGGCUUUGACGGGUAGCCGGCCUGAGAGGGUGACCGGGCACAUUGGGACUGAGGGAGGGAGCAGACUGCUACGGGAGGCAGCAGUGGGGAAUAUUGCACAGUGGGCGGGAGCCUGAUGCAGCAACGCCGCGUGCGGGAUGACGGCCUUCGGGUUGUAAACCGCUUUCGCCUGUGACGAAGCGUGAGUGACGGUAAUGGGUAAAGAAGCACCGGCUAACUACGUG
rnacentral:rRNA from 1 species